rnacentral:rRNA from 1 species
UCAGGACGAACGCUGGCGGCGUGCUUAACACAUGCAAGUCGAGCGGAAAGGCCCUUCGGGGUACUCGAGCGGCGAACGGGUGAGUAACACGUGAGUAACCUGCCCUAGGCUUUGGGAUAACCCUCGGAAACGGGGGCUAAUACCGGAUAUUCAUGCUGGACGGCAUCGUUUGGUGUGGAAAGUUUUUCGGCCUGGGAUGGGCUCGCGGCCUAUCAGCUUGUUGGUGGGGUGAUGGCCUACCAAGGCGACGACGGGUAGCCGGCCUGAGAGGGCGACCGGCCACACUGGGACUGAGACACGGCCCAGACUCCUACGGGAGGCAGCAGUGGGGAAUAUUGCACAAUGGGCGGAAGCCUGAUGCAGCGACGCCGCGUGAGGGAUGAAGGCCUUCGGGUUGUAAACCUCUUUCGACAGGGACGAAGCGCAAGUGACGGUACCUGGAGAAGAAGCGCCGGCCAACUACGUGCCAGCAGCCGCGGUAAGACGUAGGGCGCGAGCGUUGUCCGGAUUUAUUGGGCGUAAAGAGCUCGUAGGCGGCUUGUUGCGUCAGCUGUGAAAACCCGCAGCUCAACUGUGGGCUUGCAGCUGAUACGGGCAGGCUUGAGUUCGGUAGGGGAGACUGGAAUUCCUGGUGUAGCGGUGAAAUGCGCAGAUAUCAGGAGGAACACCGGUGGCGAAGGCGGGUCUCUGGGCCGAUA